rnacentral:rRNA from 1 species
ACCCCUCGUUGUCAUCACCGAGACUUUUCGGAAAUGGCAUGUUCCUUCGGGACCCGUGAGACAGGUGGUGCAUGGUUGUCGUCAGCUCGUGUUGUGAAAUGUUGGGUUAAGUCCCGCAACGAGCGCAACCCUUAUCUUUUGUUGCCAGCGGUCUGGCCGGGGACUUCUAGGAGACUUGCCGGGAAAAACCGGAAGAAGGGGGGGAAGAACUCCAAUCCUCCUGGCCCUUUAUAACUUGGGUACCCCCCUUGUUAAAUUGGGGAAACAAAAAGAAACCACCUCUGAAAGGAAACCAACCCCCAAAAAUGCCUCCCCAUUUGGAUUGGAUCCUCCACCCCAAUUCCUUAAGCUGAAUCCCAAUUAUUGGGGAUCCAAAUGCCCCCGUUAAACCUUUCCCGGUUUGAACCCCCGAAAACA